CACCCCAAACCCCUGUACAUCCAAGUCCUAGAGAACUAUUACAGGAGUUACAGGGAGACUUUGAUCGGUCAGUAAGCAAUACAGCCAGGCGUAUAAAGCUGUUAAAAGAACGCCUUGGGACAAAUACUAUCCCCUAUGAUUUGAGGCCCCUAAAGCAAAGCGAAGAGAAAGGUCACGUAGUAGCCCCUCUCAGAAGAGUAUUUGAUGCACUUGAGGAGCCUGUGCUGGUUAACGGGCAACUCGGACCACGGCCACCUCGAACUUCGACCCUCCAGUACAUUCCAUUCACAACUACGGAUCUGAUGAAUUGGAAAACACACACCCCGUCUUUCGCAGAAAAACCUCAGGCUAUGAUGGACUUGGUGACUUCAAUAGUAAAUACUCAUAGUCCUACUUGGACAGAUUGCCGCCAGCUCCUGAAUACUCUGUUCACCACUGAGGAAAGAAGAGACAUAAUUGAAAAGGCACAGAUAUAUUUGCGUGAGCAGGCCAGAGUGGGAAAUAUUCUUAAUGUUGACCGUCAUCUCCAGGACAAUUUUCCCUUGGAGGAUCCUAAUUGGGAUCCAAACAAUGCAAUUCACCUGGCCAGGCUUACCACCUACCGCCAGACGCUUGUGCAAGGUAUCCGCAGGGCAUGCCAGAAGCCCACUAAUAUGACUAAAGUCUCAGAAGUAGAACAGAAACCGAAUGAGAGUCCGGGAGACUUUUUAGAGAGGCUGCAGGAAGCCUAUCGUAUAUGGACUCCUUUUGACCCUGAAGCCCCUGCAAACAGCAGAAUGAUUACUGCUACUUUUGUGGCUCAGUGCGCUUCUGACAUUCGUAAGAAAAUUCAGAAGUCAGAAGGAUGGGAAGGGAUGCUGAUGAGCCAAAUUAUGGCCAUUGCACGCCGAGUUUAUCGGAAUAGGGAUGAGGCUGAGAAACAAGAGAAGAAGAAGUGGCAGAAGGAAAAGAUGGUGAUGCUAGCCACAGCAGUGAAGCAAGACUACCGCCCUUUAAAUGGAGGGAGAGGGCGGGGAAGGAAUCCACCACUGGGAAGGAAUCAAUGUGCGAAUUGCAAGAAGGAGGGUCAUUGGAAGCGGGAGUGUCCUGAACCCCUGAGGUUGGAAGAAGUACGCCCAGGCCCAGGCCCAGGCUCCGGCCCAAGAAACCAGGGACGGGGACGGGGAAUGAUCCGAGAUGGAAGAUAUCAGAGACCUGGACAAGGACGGAGUAGAGACAAUUUCAUUGGACUGGCAGAGGAGGAUUUUACCCAAGACUAGGAACGACCGGACUCCAUAAAGUUAGGCUUCCAGGAGCCCACGGUCAAAAUUCAAUUAGGGAGCCAUUUAAUAGACUUUAUGAUAGAUACUGGCGCUGAAUACUCAGUACUCCCAGAACUAUUGCAGAAAAAGGCAUCCAAAAGUGUAGUCAUUAAAAGUGCCACUGGUCAGUCAGCUAAGAGGUCUUUCCUCCAACCUUUAGAAUGCCAGAUUGGGGGACAUCAUUUAACCCAUCAGUUUUUGUAUAUACCUGAGUGUCCAAUGCCUCUCUUAGGUAGAGAUAUGCUGUCCAAAUUGCAGGCCCAAAUCACCUUCACUCCUCGAGGUCCAGAAAUGAAACUGCCAUCAAAGGCAGCAGGAAUAAUUUCCCUCUCAGUACCUAAGGAACAAUCAUGGCGCCUAAUGUCAGCCCUGCAAGUCCAACCCACAUUGGAUACAGAAUUAAACAAGCUCCUCCGAACCCUACAAGUGCCACCAGGAGUAUGGGCCGAAAAUAGCCCACCAGGAAUGGCUAAGAAUAUAGCUCCAAUUGUAGUAACCCUAAAACCUAUGGCUACCCCUGUAUCUGUAAAGCAAUAUCCUGUUACCCGGCGAGCAGCAGAGGGCAUCCAGAAACAUUUGGACCGCCUAUUAAAAUAUGGUCUGCUUAAGCCCUGCCAAUCAGAAUGGAACACACCCCUUUUGCCUGUUCGGAAGCCUGGGACAGAUGAAUACAGGCCAGUACAGGACUUGAGGCUCGUAAACCAGGCUAUCGAGACCUUGCACCCAAAUGUACCAAACCCAUAUACCUUGCUGAGUUUGAUCCCACCAGAAGCAACAUUUUUACUGUAUUGGACUUGAAAGAUGCAUUCUUCUGUUGCCGGCUGGCACCACAGAGCCAACCUAUAUUUGCCUUCCAGUGGGAAGACCCUUUGACAGGAACAAAAGGCCAGCUAACCUGGACAAGAUUGCCCCAGGGAUUCAAAAAUUCCCCAACUUUAUUUGGCACUGCCUUGGCGAAGGAUCUAACAAGUUACCCCUCAAUACCUGGAAAAAAGGUGGUUCUGCAAUAUGUAGAUGACCUUAUACUAGCGGCAAAGGAUUUUGAUACCUGUAAAGAAGGGACAGAGGAACUGCUCCACUUGCUCUGGGAAGCUGGCUACCGAGUUUCCCAGAAAAGGCACAGUUAUGUUUAGAAAAGGUCAAAUAUUUGGGCUUUGACAUCUCACACCAACAACGAGCAUUGAGACCAGAGAGGAAAGAAGCUAUUUGCCUUAUCAAGGAACCUACCACAAGGAAACAACUCAGAGGAUUCCUGGGAACAGCAGGGUUUUGUAGACUAUGGAUACCUGAUUUCAGCAGUCUGGCCAAGCCCUUACAUGAAAGCACUCGAGGUGCAGAACAGGACCCAUUCGUAUGGGGACCUGAGCAGCAACAAGCCUUUUUAGUUAUCAAACAACGACUUAUGGAGGCCCCAGCCCUGGGACUGCCUAAUUCGGAAAAACCCUUUCAGCUGUAUGUACAUGAACAGAAUGGGAUUGCAGCAGCAGUCCUGACCCAGAGAUUAGGAAGUUGGAACCGUCCAGUAGCUUAUUUGUCAAAACAAUUGGACUCAGUAGCAAAAGGAUGGCCUCCAUGCCUAAGGGCAGUAGCGGCCACUGCAAGCCUUGUCAAAGAAGCUGAUAAAUUUACCUUUGGCCAGACGAUGUAUGUGAAUGUACCUCAUGCUGUUCUGACACUCAUGGAAUAUAAGGGUAGUUAUUGGCUAACGAAUCCAAGGAUGGCUAGAUACCAAGGCCUAUUGUGUGAAAAUCCCAGGAUUCAUCUACGAGUAGUGAAUAUGCUCAAUCCAGCAACUUUGCUGCCCCUACCAGAGGUAGAUGAUGAAGAAUCACAUGAUUGUCUCCAAAUAAUGGAUGAAGUGUAUUCCAGUAGACCCGAUCUGAAAGAUGAACCAUUGAAAAAUCCAGAUGUUGUAUAUUAUACUGAUGGUAGCAGUUACCUGCAUGAAGGUGCCAGACGAGGCAGGAUAUGCUGUGGUCACCAAUGAGGAAGUUGUGGAAGCUGAAGCUUUGCCUGCUGGCACCUCAGCACAAAAGGCUGAACUUAUAGGUUUAACUAGAGCUCUGCAAUUGGCAGCCGGAUGUAAGGCAAACAUCUAUACUGAUUCUAAAUAUGCCUUCUUAACCCUGCAUGCACAUGGAGCUCUAUGGAAAGAAAGAGGUCUAAUCGGAGCCCAUGGGAAGGCCUUGAAAUAUGGACCUGAAGUAGAAAUCCUGUUGGAAGCAGUAUGGGCUCCAGAACAGAUUGCUGUAAUGCACUGCAAAGGUCAUGGACGUGGAAGGGAUCCAAUAACCAGAGGAAAUCAUGCUGCUGACAAAGCAGCCCGAGAGGCAGCCCAGAAGCCUGUGGGAGGAUUUAUAGCAGCCCUCAUACCAGAGGUAGUUCCAGAAGAAAUUAAACCUCACUAUACCCCAGAAGAGAGGAAGUGGGCUGAACAGGAAGGAGCGGUUGUGAAGGACGGUUGGAUGAUCCUGCCGGACAAUAGGAUUUAUGUACCUCAUCACCUAGCAGGCACAAUUGUAAGAAAUUAUCAUGAAUCUACUCACCUUGGCGGUACUGCAACCAGAGAGAGUCUCAGUCGGAAGUUGUAUAUUAUUAACCUAUCACAAUUAGCAACUUGCAUUUCACAGAAAUGUGUUCUUUGUGCUAAAAACAAUCCCAGGCAGGGACCGGUACAACCUCCUGGAAUCCAACAUGUGGGAUACGUCCCCAUGGAAAGCCUAAUUGUGGACUUCACAGAGCUGGUCCCUUCUAAGGGAUUCAAGUACCUCCUUGUGUUUGUAGAUACCCUUACCGGAUGGGUUGAAGCUUUUCCCACCAGGACUGAAAAGGCACGAGAGGUAACUAAGAGACUCCUCACUGAAUUGAUCCCGAGGUUUGGAUUACCUAGAUGCAUUGGAAGUGAUAAUGGGCCAGCGUUCAUUGAUCAAGUAGUACAAGAAGUAUGUCGAGUCCUACAAGUGAAAUGGAGACUGCAUGCAGCAUAUAGGCCUCAAAGUUCGGGGAAAACUGAAAGAAUGAAUCGGACUCUGAAAACCCAAUUGGCAAAAUUAACCCAGGAAACAGGAUUGGGAUGGGUAGAUGUGUUACCCAUAACACUGUUUCGUGUUCGGUGUGCACCCACAAAAAGACUUAAGUUGUCACCUUUUGAGCUCCUGUAUGGGAGGCCACCCUCCUUUGUUCAGGAUAUUCCAGCUGACCUCAAACAAAUAGGAGACCAUGUGACACAGGGACAAGUGCAAUCUCUCUCCCGUGUUUUUGUUUCUCUUAACAGGUGGGCCCUCGAGCGCACGCCGUGCAGCAUUGCCGAGCCGAUUCAUCAGUUCCAGGCUGGCGAUAGCGUAUGGGUGAAAGAGUGGAAACGUGAUCCACUUGCACCUAAGUGGCGUGGGCCUUACACCGUCUUGCUCUCUACUCCAACAGCGGUGAAGGUAGCUGAGGUGAACCCCUGGAUUCAUCACUCCCGUUUGAAGAAGUCCGAAGGCAGUUGGACGUGCAAAGGUGACCCCUCUAAUCCUUUUAAACUGACUCUCUCCAAAAACCCCUGUAUCUAGCCCUACGGGGAACGGGCUAGGUCACGGGCAACAUUAGACGACCGGCCUGCUGCAGCCACAACCUGGAAGCUGGCUGACCUGCGCACGCCUGAAGCUUGAGGAGCGUCUGAACCAGCGAUUGUGAACAGGAAGAUUCUCUUAUACAAUUGAUUGACUGCCCCCCCUUGUGGAACAAUUAUCAGGGAUAUUACUCAUUGGGGAUCCUCGGGAUAUAUGUUUUGGUCUUGGUGGUUCCCCAUUUCUGUCAUUGGGGGAAUUAUAUUGGGCCUAAUAUUUUUUUGUUAUCACAAUAAGGUAAUCUUUUGUGGAAGAAAUG